rnacentral:rRNA from 1 species
AUUGAACGCUGGCGACAUGCUUUACACAUGCAAGUCGAACGGUAACAGGGUGCUUGCACCGCUGACGAGUGGCGAACGGGUGAGUAAUGCGUCGGAACGUGCCGAGUAGUGGGGGAUAACGCAGCGAAAGUUGUGCUAAUACCGCAUACGUACUGAGGUAGAAAGUGGGGGACCUUCGGGCCUCACGCUAUUCGAGCGGCCGACGUCUGAUUAGCUAGUAGGUGAGGUAAAGGCUCUCCUAGGCGACGAUCAGUAGCGGGUCUGAGAGGAUGAUCCGCCACACUGGGACUGAGACACGGCCCAGACUCCUACGGGAGGCAGCAGUGGGGAAUUUUGGACAAUGGGCGAAAGCCUGAUCCAGCCAUGCCGCGUGUCUGAAGAAGGCCUUCGGGUUGUAAAGGACUUUUGUCAGGGAGGAAAUCCCUAGCGUUAAUACCGCUGGGGGAUGACAGUACCUGAAGAAUAAGCACCGGCUAACUACGUGCCAGCCGCCGCGGUAAUAC